rnacentral:rRNA from 1 species
UACGGAGGGAGCUAGCGUUGUUCGGAAUUACUGGGCGUAAAGCGCACGUAGGCGGCUUUGUAAGUUAGAGGUGAAAGCCCGGGGCUCAACCCCGGAAUUGCCUUUAAGACUGCAUUGCUUGAAUCCGGGAGAGGUGAGUGGAAUUCCGAGUGUAGAGGUGAAAUUCGUAGAUAUUCGGAAGAACACCAGUGGCGAAGGCGGCUCACUGGACCGGUAUUGACGCUGAGGUGCGAAAGCGUGGGGAGCAAACAGG